GGGGUUGCGGACUGCUAACAAAUGGUUGGACGAAGCAGAACCAGUUGGGAAACUGGGCCAGAGACGGUGAGAGCCCGGUAAGCGUAAGGAAGACCAUGGAGCAGGAUCCAGAGUACCACGGGGCACGAGGAACCUUGUGGGAAGCAGGGGGGACCACCCUCCAAGGCGAAACACUGAUAUGGACCGAUAGCGAAUAGUACCGUGAGGGAACGGUGAAAAGAACCCCGGGAGGGGAAUGAAAGAGAACCUGAAACCGUAUGUCUACAAACAGUCGGAGCGCUUUACAUGCGCGACGGCGUGCCUAUUGAAGAAUGAACCGGCGAGUUACUGUUGCCAGCGAGGUUAAGCGG
rnacentral:rRNA from 1 species